rnacentral:rRNA from 1 species
AAGAGUUUGAUCAUGGCUCAGAUUGAACGCUGGCGGCAGGCCUAACACAUGCAAGUCGAGCGGUAGCACAGAGAGCUUGCUCUCGGGUGACGAGCGGCGGACGGGUGAGUAAUGUCUGGGAAACUGCCUGAUGGAGGGGGAUAACUACUGGAAACGGUAGCUAAUACCGCAUAACGUCGCAAGACCAAAGUGGGGGACCUUCGGGCCUCAUGCCAUCAGAUGUGCCAGAUGGGAUUAGCUAGUAGGUGGGGUAACGGCUCACCUAGGCGACGAUCCCUAGCUGGUCUGAGAGGAUGACCAGCCACACUGGAACUGAGACACGGUCCAGACUCCUACGGGAGGCAGCAGUGGGGAAUAUUGCACAAUGGGCGCAAGCCUGAUGCAGCCAUGCCGCGUGUGUGAAGAAGG